CAGCACUUUUGAACAUAUUAAAUACUCAUGGACAAUGGCUGCAAGUGAGAAAAUCUACUAUUUGAAUCAUUCAAGUUGAUAAAAACAUUUAUCUGUCAAAAAAACAUCAAAUCUUCUCUUCACUCUUUUCCACCCUACAUUGUACCGCAGGAGUCCAGCCCAAAUGGACUGCAACAACAGGAGCCAUCUCCUAUGAACACUACUAAACGCGCUCAAUAAUACUGAAUGGGAGGAGAUCCCAAGGAAGCCUUGUACAGAGAGUAUUCACAUCAUCAUCUUCCUCAGUACCGAAAUACUAAAGGAAUGGCAUCCUCUGAAACCCCAGGAGAGAGAAAGGAGAGUGAAAAAUAAAGAGAAUAAAGAUUUGAAAAGAUUGGAGAAGGCAUGCAGAUAUGAAAUAAACUUUGUCGAGCACAAGAGAAUGGAAUUUCCAGUUUUGAGCACCCAGAUGAAGUGAAAGCUAACUUAAAAGAUGCAUGAUUUUCUUCAAUAACUCUUAUUUACAGCAAUACAGACAUGGAAAAAGUUGAUAGUUGAGUUUUUCCGGGGCUGAAAUUUCGCUGGGAGUAGAGCAAGAAGAGAGAAGAAAAGCUAUUGAAGAGCUUGCAGGAGAGUGAUUAUAAUGAAGAAUGGACUCAAAUCUGGAUACAGUGAAAACAAGAAGAGA
rnacentral:lncRNA from 1 species